rnacentral:rRNA from 1 species
UACGUAGGGUGCUAGCGUUGUUCGGAAUCAUUGGGCGUAAAGCGCGUGUAGGUGGUUAGUUAAGUCGGGUGUGAAAUCCCUGGGCUCAACCGAGGAAGUGCAUCCGAAACUAACUAGCUAGAGAGUGGUAGAGGAAGGUGGAAUUCCUAGUGUAGAGGUGAAAUUCGUAGAUAUUAGGAAGAACACCAGUGGCGAAGGCGGCUCACUGGCCCGGUACUGACGCUGAGGCGCGAAAGCGUGGGGAGCAAACAGG